AAUGAACGCUGGCGGCGUGCUUAACACAUGCAAGUCGUGCGAGAAAGGGACUUCGGUCCCCUAGUAGAGCGGCGGACGGGUGAGUAACACGUGGGUAACCUGCCCGGAUGUGUGGGAUACCCCACCGAAAGGUGGGCUAAUACCGCAGAUAGAUCUUCGGGGUUCCGGCCUCGGAGAUCAAAGCGGGGGAUCUUCGGACCUCGCGCUUCCGGAGGGGCCCGCGCCCGAUUAGCUUGUUGGUGAGGUAAUGGCUCACCAAGGCUGCGAUCGGUAGCCGGCCUGAGAGGGUGAUCGGCCACACUGGGACUGAGACACGGCCCAGACUCCUACGGGAGGCAGCAGUGGGGAAUUUUGCGCAAUGGGGGAAACCCUGACGCAGCAACGCCGCGUGGGUGAAGAAGGCUUUCGGGUCGUAAAGCCCUGUCAGGUGGGAAGAAACUCUUCAGUACUAAUAAUGCUGAAGCCUGACGGUACCACCAGAGGAAGCACCGGCCAACUCCGUG
rnacentral:rRNA from 1 species